rnacentral:rRNA from 1 species
UGCAAGUCGAACGGUGAAGCCCAGCUUGCUGGGUGGAUCAGUGGCGAACGGGUGAGUAACACGUGAGCAACCUGCCCUCCACUUCGGGAUAAGCCUUGGAAACGGGGUCUAAUACCGGAUAUGAGCGCCUGCUGCAUGGCGGGUGUUGGAAAGUUUUUCGGUGGGGGAUGGGCUCGCGGCCUAUCAGCUUGUUGGUGGGGUAAUGGCCUACCAAGGCGUCGACGGGUAGCCGGCCUGAGAGGGCGACCGGCCACACUGGGACUGAGACACGGCCCAGACUCCUACGGGAGGCAGCAGUGGGGAAUAUUGCACAAUGGGCGAAAGCCUGAUGCAGCGACGCCGCGUGAGGGAUGACGGCCUUCGGGUUGUAAACCUCUUUCAGCAGGGAAGAAGCGCAAGUGACGGUACCUGCAGAAGAAGCGCCGGCUAACUACGUGCCAGCAGCCGCGGUAAUACGUAGGGCGCAAGCGUUGUCCGGAAUUAUUGGGCGUAAAGAGCUCGUAGGCGGUUUGUCGCGUCUGGUGUGAAAACCUCAGGCUCAACCUGGGGCGUGCAUCGGGUACGGGCAGACUAGAGUGCGGUAGGGGAGACUGGAAUUCCUGGUGUAGCGGUGGAAUGCGCAGAUAUCAGGAGGAACACCGAUGGCGAAGGCAGGUCUCUGGGCCGCAACUGACGCUGAGGAGCGAAAGCAUGGGGAGCGAACAGGAUUAG